rnacentral:rRNA from 1 species
GACGAACGCUGGCGGCGUGCUUAACACAUGCAAGUCGAACGGAAAGGCCCUGCUUUUGUGGGGUGCUCGAGUGGCGAACGGGUGAGUAACACGUGAGUAACCUGCCCUUGACUUUGGGAUAACUUCAGGAAACUGGGGCUAAUACCGGAUAGGAGCUCCUGCUGCAUGGAGGGGGUUGGAAAGUUUCGGCGGGUGGGGAUGGACUCGCGGCUUAUCAGCUUGUUGGUGGGGUAGUGGCUUACCAAGGCUUUGACGGGUAGCCGGCCUGAGAGGGUGACCGGCCACAUUGGGCCUGAGAUACGGCCCAGUCUCCUACGGGAGGCAGCAGUGGGGAAUAUUGCACAAUGGGCGGAAGCCUGAUGCAGCAACGCCGCGUGCGGGAUGACGGCCUUCGGGUUGUAAACCGCUUUCGCCUGUGACGAAGCGUGAGUGACGGUAAUGGGUAAAGAAGCACCGGCUAACUACGUG